GCCAGCAGCCAUACCACCCUGCAACUCAAACUGGCAACCCCCUGAAGCUCAGCAGGUGUGAGCCUGGUCAGUACCUGGAUGUGAGACCUCCUGGGAAAAACUAAGGUUGCUGCUGGAA
rfam:Lepisosteus oculatus linkage group LG14, whole genome shotgun sequence.